AUGUAUAUAAUGAACUAUAUAUUAGGAUUACGAGUUAAAUACACAUGAUCUUUUAACUGAUAUUGUUAAUCCUACUGAUAUAUAUGAGAAAGAAAUUUUAGAGUUAGACAAUUCUUUUAAUAAAGAAAAUAUUAAUCCAUGUAGCUCAAAGAGGAAGAAUUUAGAUACUCCUAAAUCUAAAGCUAAAAAAUCUAAGAAGUAUGAAGAUGAAAAAAUGGAGAUAUUUAGGGGUUUUGCUGCCAAACAUACAUCCCAAGGAGAUGAUCCCCAUAAUAUUAUGGGUUUUUUCAAAUCAUAUCAAGCUCAAUUUAAUAUUAUGACUGAUAAAGAAAUUUUUGAUUUUAAAUUAAAAUUUAUAACAACAAUGUUAGUUUAGU